rnacentral:snRNA from 1 species
GAACUUCAGCAGCACAUAUAUUAAAAUUGGAACUACACAGAGAAGAUUAGCAUGGCCCAUGUGAAAGGAUGACAAGCAAAUUCAUGAAGUGUUCCAUAUUUUG